UUGUGUCGUGAAAUGUCAAAAUAUAUGAAUCUUUACUAUUGACGUUUGUUACUAAUGUUAAACUGCGGUAAAUCAUUCUGAUUCUGUUGUUCAGUUCAGUUUAAUUCCUGAUUUGUCGAGAAAUGAAGGCAGCAUUCGAAUCAAACUAUCAUAAAACGAUAACCGCUACAAUUCAGGUCGUCGCGUCGGUGAGCAUUUCGCGUGUCGCUACGCGACUAAUGGCCGCCAUUAGUGUGCCGUGAAAUCAUAAGACGAUUGGCGACCGCUGCCCACAAAACGAAAUGUUUCAUUUUUAUCGUUUACACGGCGGUUCGGUGUUUCGAUACUUAGAAAAUAAACACUUUAUGUAUAUUAUUAACGUUCCGUUUCAAACUAAGAUGCCAGAAUGAAUGUUUUAAAACGGAGUUUCCUAUCUACUUUAAUCUAUGAAUAAUUGAGAAAAAACUAACCGGAAGAAAACACUGAGAUUCGAAGCCCAUUAUAAUGCUGUUGACAUAACCACGCUUCCGGAUGUAAGGAACUGUUUCAGUAAUACGUACCUAAGCUAAGAGCCGGAAUUAUCAACUUUAGUGGAGCGUGUUUAAGGUUUAAAUUUCUGGAUUGCAACAAAGUAAAAUAAGCCCCACAAUACGGCAGGAUUCGAUACAUUUUGUUCGGCAGCUAUCAAUACAUCAGUCGCUGUAAGUGGGCAGUUAGAAUUUAUAAAAGUAUUUCACUCUAACUUUAUUAUUGCAAUAUUUGUAUUUUUUUUAAAUUUUAUUUGCAAUGUUUAAUUCGAUUGUAUAUUCAUUACGGCUAUGUUUUACACAUAUUUUAUUUCAAUUAAAAUUAAUUUCCUGUA